AACGCUAGCUACAGGCUUAACACAUGCAAGUCGAGGGGCAGCAUGGUCUUAGCUUGCUAAGGCUGAUGGCGACCGGCGCACGGGUGAGUAACACGUAUGCAACCUGGCCGUGACAGAUGGAUAACCGGGAGAAAUUCCGCCUAAUACAGCAUAACACCACUGGAUGACAUCCUCCGGUGGUCAAAGGAGGCGACUCCGGUCACGGAUGGGCAUGCGGCGCAUUAGGUAGUUGGUGAGGCAACGGCUCACCAAGCCGACGAUGCGUAGGGGUUCUGAGAGGAAGGUCCCCCACAUUGGAACUGAGACACGGUCCAAACUCCUACGGGAGGCAGCAGUGAGGAAUAUUGGUCAAUGGCCGGAAGGCUGAACCAGCCAAGUCGCGUGAGGGAAUAAGGCCCUACGGGUCGUAAACCUCUUUUGUCCGGGAGCAAGGACAUCCACGUGUGGAUGUUCGGAGAGUACCGGAAGAAAAAGCAUCGGCUAACUCCGUGCCAGCAGCCGCGGUAAUACGGAGGAUGCGAGCGUUAUCCGGAUUUAUUGGGUUUAAAGGGUGCGUAGGCGGCAUGAAAAGUCAGCGGUAAAAUAGCGGGGCUCAACCCCGUCGAGCCGUUGAAACUUUCAGGCUUGAGUGAGCGAGAAGUAUGCGGAAUGCGUGGUGUAGCGGUGAAAUGCAUAGAUAUCACGAAGAACUCCGAUUG
rnacentral:rRNA from 1 species